AGUGUAAGACACCAUCUCAAAAAAAAAAAAAAAUACAGAAAAGAUUAGUAUGGCCCCUGUCCAAGGGAUGACACAGAAAUUUGUGAAGUAUUCCAUAGUUUU
rnacentral:snRNA from 1 species